GUCCUUAUCAUCUGUUCCAUCAAUAUGUACUUUGUAGUGGUUUAUGUCCGGGACCUAGGGCAUGUGGCAUUAUAUGUGGUGGCUGCUGUGGUCAGCGUGGCUUAUCUGGGCUUUGUGUUCUACUUGGGUUGGCAAUGUUUGAUUGCACUGGGCAUGUCCUUCCUGGACUGUGGGCAUACGUGCCAUCUGGGAUUGACAGCUCAGCCUGAACUCUAUCUUCUGAACACCAUGGACGCUGACUCACUUGUGUCUAGAUGACUGACAGCCUGAGAGACUCUAUAAGAACAUGUUUUUCUAAGCCCUUUUUGUGCCAGGUGUCCCGUUAACGUCUCUGUUAGUUCAGAGGUGAGUUUUGUUCAGACGUUUUGAACAAAAGGCAAAGAUUUCCUCAUGGGAAGGGUGUUCAAAACUGACAGCUAUAAAUGUAGGUCAGAGACCCACCCACCUCAUAACAGUCAUACACUCCCAGAGUUAAACGAUUGGCCUCUGAUGGCCACACACCCCUAUGGGCUUGUGUCUUGGACUCUGGGAUUUAAAAGAUAUAUAUGUAUAUAUAUUUAUGUAAACCUGAGCAUCUCAGUUUGGGUAGAGUUUUAAGGUUAUAUGAAACUGAUAGAACUUUUGUAUUUUUUUUUUAAAUAUUGUUUUGAUAUAUCAGAUAUUUGUUUUGUCUGGAUCACAAGUGAGAAAGAAAAGAGAACAAUGCUCUUUUUCACAAUGAACUGGUCAAAUUGACUAUCUUGUAAAGUGAUACUUUACUAUGUCAGUGAAAUUUCAGUUUGAUUUUAGUCAACCAGAUUAUAUCCUUUGUAUCUACUGAUAUUAACACAUCAUAUUAACACAUCAUUUCUUAAAAAAACAUUUCUUCUGUUUGGCAAUCAUAAUUAACUCUGGUUAUCAGCCUAUUUUGUAAUUAUUGUCUUUGUCGUCACUUUUCUUGAAUUGUUUUCUAGUCAUUAAACAGAUAUGAAGGC
rnacentral:lncRNA from 1 species